rnacentral:rRNA from 1 species
AUUGAACGCUGGCGGCAUGCCUUACACAUGCAAGUCGAACGGCAGCACGGGUGCUUGCACCUGGUGGCGAGUGGCGAACGGGUGAGUAAUACAUCGGAACAUGUCCUGUAGUGGGGGAUAGCCCGGCGAAAGCCGGAUUAAUACCGCAUACGAUCUACGGAUGAAAUCGGGGGACCUUCGGGCCUCGCGCUAUAGGGUUGGCCGAUGGCUGAUUAGCUAGUUGGUGGGGUAAAGGCCUACCAAGGCGACGAUCAGUAGCUGGUCUGAGAGGACGACCAGCCACACUGGGACUGAGACACGGCCCAGACUCCUACGGGAGGCAGCAGUGGGGAAUUUUGGACAAUGGGCGAAAGCCUGAUCCAGCAAUGCCGCGUGUGUGAAGAAGGCCUUCGGGUUGUAAAGCACUUUUGUCCGGAAAGAAAUCCUUGGCCCUAAUACGGUCGGGGGAUGACGGUACCGGAAGAAUAAGCACCGGCUAACUACGUG